GGCGAACCGAGCGACCGUUGUUCGGAAUAACUGGGCUUAAAGGGUGCGUAGGCGGCGCGGUAAGUCGGGUGUGAAAUCUCGGAGCUUAACUCCGAAACUGCAUUCGAUACUGCCGUGCUUGAGGACUGGAGAGGAGACUGGAAUUUACGGUGUAGCGGUGAAAUGCGUAGAUAUCGUAAGGAAGACCAGUGGCGAAGGCGGGUCUCUGGACAGUUCCUGACGCUGAGGCACGAAGGUCAGGGGAGCAAACGGG
rnacentral:rRNA from 1 species